rnacentral:rRNA from 1 species
GAUUAACGCUAGCGGCAGGCCUAAUACAUGCAAGUCGAACGGGAUUUCGGGUAGCAAUAUCUGAAUGAGAGUGGCGCACGGGUGCGUAACGCGUAUGCAAUCUACCUUUAACUGGGGAAUAGCCCUCCGAAAGGAGGAUUAACACCGCAUAAUACUACGAUGGGGCAUCUCAAUGUAGUCAAAACUCAGGUGGUUAAAGAUGAGCAUGCGUCCGAUUAGCUAGUUGGUGAGGUAAUGGCUCACCAAGGCGACGAUCGGUAGGGGGUCUGAGAGGAUGAUCCCCCACACUGGUACUGAGACACGGACCAGACUCCUACGGGAGGCAGCAGUAAGGAAUAUUGGACAAUGGGCGCAAGCCUGAUCCAGCUAUGCCGCGUGAAGGAUGACGGCCCUAUGGGUUGUAAACUUCUUUUAGCAGGGAAAAAACCCCUCGAUGCGUUGAGGGCUGAUGGUACCUGCAGAAUAAGGAUCGGCUAACUCCGUGCCAGCAGCCGCAGUAACAC